CUGGAGUUGGUGCUGUUGGUUGAUUUAAUCGGGGCUCGAAAAUACUGGGAGAGAGAACUACAGGUGGCAGACAGAGUGCCAAACAAACAUAGACCCACCUCCUAGGAGUCAACAGAUCCCAGAUAUCAGGUCUCUGUAACUACUCUGCUUUUUAAAAACUGGAACAUUCAUUGAAGACCCCUUUUGAAGUCUCGGGCGAGAACAUGUAUGAGAAAACUAAAGCUCCAAGAGGUGUAGGGACUUACCCCAAAUCACAGAGCUACGAAUAGGGGAGCAGUGACUGGGACACAAGUCUCUCAGUCAAGCCGGUGGGAAGAGCUUGUUGACAAUGUGAGACAAGAAGAUGGUGGAUCCAUUUGGCCUGGUAUGGAAUAAGGCUGGAUGGAGGUUAGAACUAAGUGUUCUGUCAGCUGCCUAAGGGAAGAAGGAAAUGGAACUUAUACUUUGAAGAGCUGAAAUGAUCAUUGCUAAACACUGACCAUCUACAAUUAUUGUAAUGCAUGAUUUUCAUUACUUUUUUGAAACAAAUAUAUCAUCCAUAUAAAUUAUAA